rnacentral:rRNA from 1 species
CUCGAACCUGAUGAUCAUG